rnacentral:lncRNA from 1 species
UGGAAAAAGCUCGGCGGAGCCAUCGUGGAGAAACCCUAAAACCCUCUUCGAUGACCCCUUACUUGUUUCCCAUUUCGUGUGACUUUUUGACCACCGUGUUAAUUGUCCUUUUAUGGUAUAGGUUAGCUGAAGGAGAACUUUAGCCAUGAAGGAGGACCAGCAGAGCCACCACACUCGGAGACCUUCUGUCGAUAAGGUUUCAAUUUUUUGCUUUUUCUGGUCAACUAAGGCCUCCUAACUCGUAUUUUC